AUUGAACGCUGGCGGCAGGCUUAACACAUGCAAGUCGAGCGAGCGGCGGACGGGUGAGUAAUGUCUGGGAAACUGCCUGAUGGAGGGGGAUAACUACUGGAAACGGUAGCUAAUACCGCAUACCAUCAGAUGUGCCCAUAUGGGAUUAGCUAGUAGGUGAGGUAAUGGCUCACCUAGGCGACGAUCCCUAGCUGGUCUGAGAGGCUGACCAGCCACACUGGGACUGAGACACGGGCCAGACUCCUACGGGAGGCAGCAGUGGGGAAUAUUGCACAAUGGGCGCAAGCCUGAUGCAGCCAUGCCGGGUGUGUGAAGAAGGCCUUCGGGUUGUAAAGUACUUUCAGCGGGGAGGCGUUACUCGCAGAAGAAGCACCGGCUAACUCCGUGCCAGCAGCCGCGGUAAUUC
rnacentral:rRNA from 1 species